rnacentral:lncRNA from 1 species
UUCACCACCAAGUGUAGUGUGAAAUUCCACUGCAAUGGAAUGUGCCCGACUGCCGCCUCCCCCAACACAUAUAUUCUCCCUAAAUUAUAUACCUUUGAGUGAGAGGAGUGCGGGACCUUUAGAUACUUUCUCCUGGCCCCUUUCCGGGCACCUUUCUAGAAAGCUCCCUUAUUCAGGGCCAUCAAUGAAGACAAAGACAUCCCCUCUUGGCUGUGCUGCUGGCCGCUGCUUCCCGCUGCAGAGCGAAGAGGCGGCUCUCAGCCCGGUAGCGCCCCCAGGCGGCGGUGUGCAGUGGCGGCGAAAGGAGCCCGCCGCCGGCUCUCAUCCCGCUUGCUUUUUGUUUUUGCUCUCUCCGCAUC